rnacentral:rRNA from 1 species
GACGAACGCUGGCGGCGUGCUUAACACAUGCAAGUCGAACGAGUGGCGAACGGGUGAGUAAUACGUGAGUAACCUGCCCUCUCUUUGGGAUAAGCCUUGGAAACGGGGUCUAAUACCGGAUAAAGGGGGAUGGGCUCGCGGCCUUUCAGCUUGUUGGUGGGGUGAUGGCCUACCAAGGCGGUGACGGUUAGCCGGCCUGAGAGGGUGACCGGCCACAUUGGUACUGAGCUAAGGCCCAGGGUCCGACGGGGGGGGGCAGUGGUGGGUAUGGAACAAUGGUCGAAAGACUGAUGCAGCGACGCCGCAUGGGGGAUGAAGGCUUUAGAGUUGUAAACCUCUUGCGCAAUCGAACGGGUAUGUAGAGAAGAAGCGCCGGCUAACUACGUGCCAGCAGCCGCGGUAAUUC